GACGAACGCUGGCGGCGUGCUUAACACAUGCAAGUCGAACGGAAAGGCCCUUCGGGGUACUCGAGUGGCGAACGGGUGAGUAACACGUGGGUGAUCUGCCCUGCACUUUGGGAUAAGCCUGGGAAACUGGGUCUAAUACCGGAUAGGACCACGGCAUUCAUGUGCUGUGGUGGAAAGCUUUUGCGGUGUGGGAUGGGCCCGCGGCCUAUCAGCUUGUUGGUGGGGUAAUGGCCUACCAAGGCGACGACGGGUAGCCGGCCUGGGAGGGUGACCGGCCACAAUGGGACUGAGAUACGGAGCAGACUCGUACGGGAGGCAGCGGUCGGGAAUAUUGCACAAUGGGCGCAAGCCUGAUGCAGAGACGCCGCGUGAGGGAUGCCGGCCUUCGGGUUGUAAACCUCUUUCGCAGGGGACGAAGCGGAAGUGACGGUACCUGGAGAAGAAGGACCGGCUAACUACGUG
rnacentral:rRNA from 1 species